rnacentral:tRNA from 1 species
UGCUCCUUAGUGUAAAAAACAUCUCUGGUUUGCACCUAGAGGAUGGAGGUGAUUCUUCCAGGAGCAU